rnacentral:lncRNA from 1 species
GGACCUUAGAAAUAUGGGCGGUCCUCCAUACCCAGCUGAGGCGAGGCGGGACUGUUGGCUGAGAAUGUUUCAUGUAUUCAUGGACCAAAAGAUGGAGUUGAUUUUUGUUUUUAAAAAGAUACUGUUGAUGAUCUGAUACAACUGUAUGUAUUCACUUGAUAAGGAUUCAUGGAGUGAUCAUUAAGUUGGACUAGUAAUCAUUUCUGAAAGUUUCUUCAAGCACUGUUUAAAA